GGGUCGCGGUGCUGGCGGGGGGAUGCUCCCGAGGCGGUGCGGGGACCGAGCAGAGCCACCCGCCCCCCCGGAGCACCGCCCGGCCGCUCAACGCAGCCCCCCGGGCAGGUGGAGGGUGCCCUCGGCUCCUCCGGGGGCUUCGUCCCCUCUCCCGAAAGAGUGACAGAAAAAUCAUAAGCACAAACUGCAGCUGGUGCUUCUGUGGCCAGUGAGGAUCGGUGGGAGCAAAUGAGGUGCUCCCCACACUGCUUGGCUUUUGGGGGCACUGGUUGUGCCUGUCCUUCUCUGCCCUUUGGGGACAAAACUGGUGUAAUGAUUGCACUCGGAUUCCUUCAGGCUCUAAACCAGACAAGAGAUAGGAACCAGGAAUCCUUUUCAAAGUCGUGUUUUAACAAAGGAUAUUCCUCUUGUUUUUCCAGACACGCAACUUACAAUAUUUUGGAGUUGUGCCCUCUGCAAAUUGAAUCCACAGUCCUGAAAACCCAGAGCUGAUGCCAAGCAUUUUAAUCCUACCAGAAGUAAACAGUGAGCACCAAUUUACAUAAGAAUCGACUUGUAAAAUUAUUUCAGUGUUAACAUUGUGACACUCUAAGUAUAGUGGGUGACUUUGGGGCCGCUCAAAGCUUUUUAAAUGGAUGCUGCUGCUACAACAGAUUCCGGUCGUGUUUGUUUUUCAGAUGCUUGUAGGAAAUUAUGUGGAUUAAAAAGCUCUGCUUUAGGAAAAGCCCAAAGGAAAAUGAAAUGAAAAGAAGGAGCAUAUUCUUCAAGGACCACUGAGUCUGGAGGUCUUUUGGAAGUCUUCCUGGCAGGAGGAUUUCAGCGGGGUGGGAGGUUUGGGAGCCUGGAGGAUGCUCCAUAGGUUCAAGAGGUCUCCUGCUCCCUCUGAGGGUGGUGGCAGAUACCAGUGAGCACAGCUGCUUGGGCACUGCCUGCAGGUCUGUGGGGGCAGAAGGGUCUCAGCAGGUGGGUUUUCCUGCUCAGCUCAGAGUGAAGAAAAAGAAUAAAUCUACCUAAAAGCAGAUAUUUCGAGAAUUGCUCCAAAGCUGCUGUUUUCA